rnacentral:rRNA from 1 species
AGUGAACGCUGGCGGUAGGCCUAACACAUGCAAGUCGAACGGCAGCACAGUAAGAGCUUGCUCUUACGGGUGGCGAGUGGCGGACGGGUGAGGAAUACAUCGGAAUCUACUUUUUAGUGGGGGAUAACGUAGGGAAACUUACGCUAAUACCGCAUACGACCUACGGGUGCAAGCAGGGGAUCUUCGGACCUUGCGCGAUUGAAUGAGCAGAUGUCGGAUUAGCUAGUUGGCGGGGUAAAGGCCCACCAAGGCGACGAUCCGUAGCUGGUCUGAGAGGAUGAUCAGCCACACUGGGACUGAGACACGGUCCAGACUCCUACGGGAGGCAGCAGUGGGGAAUAUUGGACAAUGGGCGCAAGCCUGAUCCAGCCAUACCGCGUGGGUGAAGAAGGCCUUCGGGUUGUAAAGCCCUUUUGUUGGGAAAGAAAAGCAGCAGGUUAAUACCCCGCUGUUCUGACGGUACCCAAAGAAUAAGCACCGGCUAACUUCGUG